GACGAACGCUGGCGGCGCGCCUAACACAUGCAAGUCGAACGAGCGAGAGAGAGCUUACUUUCUCGAGCGAGUGGCGAACGGGUGAGUAACGCGUGAGGAACCUGCCUCAAAGAGGGGGACAACAGUUGGAAACGACUGCUAAUACCGCAUAAGCCCACGGCUCGGCAUCGAGCAGAGGGAAAAGGAGCAAUCCGCUUUGAGAUGGCCUCGCGUCCGAUUAGCUAGUUGGUGAGGUAACGGCCCACCAAGGCGACGAUCGGUAGCCGGACUGAGAGGUUGAACGGCCACAUUGGGACUGAGACACGGCCCAGACUCCUACGGGAGGCAGCAGUGGGGAAUAUUGCACAAUGGGGGAAACCCUGAUGCAGCGACGCCGCGUGGAGGAAGAAGGUCUUCGGAUUGUAAACUCCUGUUGUUGAGGAAGAUAAUGACGGUACUCAACAAGGAAGUGACGGCUAACUACGUGCCAGCAGCCGCGGUAAAACGUAGGUCACAAGCGUUGUCCGGAAUUACUGGGUGUAAAGGGAGCGCAGGCGGGAAGACAAGUUGGAAGUGAAAUCCAUGGGCUCAACCCAUGAACUGCUUUCAAAACUGUUUUUCUUGAGUAGUGCAGAGGUAGGCGGAAUUCCCGGUGUAGCGGUGGAAUGCGUAGAUAUCGGGAGGAAGACCAGUGGCGAAGGCGGCCUACUGGGCACCAACUGACGCUGAGGCUCGAAAGUGUGGGUAGCAAACAGGAUUAGAUACCCUGGUAGUCCACACUGUAAACGAUGAUUACUAGGUGUUGGAGGAUUGACCCCUUCAGUGCCGCAGUUAACACAAUAAGUAAUCCACCUGGGGAGUACGACCGCAAGGUUGAAACUCAAAGGAAUUGACGGGGGCCCGCACAAGCAGUGGAGUAUGUGGUUUAAUUCGACGCAACGCGAAGAACCUUACCAAGUCUUGACAUCCUGCGACGCACAUAGAAAUAUGUGUUUCCUUCGGGACGCAGAGACAGGUGGUGCAUGGUUGUCGUCAGCUCGUGUCGUGAGAUGUUGGGUUAAGUCCCGCAACGAGCGCAACCCUUAUGGUCAGUUACUACGCAAGAGGACUCUGGCCAGACUGCCGUUGACAAAACGGAGGAAGGUGGGGAUGACGUCAAAUCAUCAUGCCCUUUAUGACUUGGGCUACACACGUACUACAAUGGCGUUAAACAAAGAGAAGCAAGACCGCGAGGUGGAGCAAAACUCAGAAACAACGUCCCAGUUCGGACUGCAGGCUGCAACUCGCCUGCACGAAGUCGGAAUUGCUAGUAAUCGCAGAUCAGCAUGCUGCGGUGAAUACGUUCCCGGGCCU
rnacentral:rRNA from 1 species